rnacentral:rRNA from 2 species
AGGUGGCCAACGAGUGGCGGACGGGUGAGUAACACGUAGGUAACCUGCCCAGAAGCGGGGGACAACAUUUGGAAACAGAUGCUAAUACCGCAUAACAACGUUGUUCGCAUGAACAACGCUUAAAAGAUGGCUUCUCGCUAUCACUUCUGGAUGGACCUGCGGUGCAUUAGCUUGUUGGUGGGGUAAUGGCCUACCAAGGCGAUGAUGCAUAGCCGAGUUGAGAGACUGAUCGGCCACAAUGGGACUGAGACACGGCCCAUACUCCUACGGGAGGCAGCAGUAGGGAAUCUUCCACAAUGGGCGCAAGCCUGAUGGAGCAACACCGCGUGAGUGAAGAAGGGUUUCGGCUCGUAAAGCUCUGUUGUUAAAGAAGAACACGUAUGAGAGUAACUGUUCAUACGUUGACGGUAUUUAACCAGAAAGUCACGGCUAACUACGUGCCAGCAGCCGCGGUAAUACGUAGGUGGCAAGCGUUAUCCGGAUUUAUUGGGCGUAAAGAGAGUGCAGGCGGUUUUCUAAGUCUGAUGUGAAAGCCUUCGGCUUAACCGGAGAAGUGCAUCGGAAACUGGAUAACUUGAGUGCAGAAGAGGGUAGUGGAACUCCAUGUGUAGCGGUGGAAUGCGUAGAUAUAUGGAAGAACACCAGUGGCGAAGGCGGCUACCUGGUCUGCAACUGACGCUGAGACUCGAAAGCAUGGGUAGCGAACAGGAUUAGAUACCCUGGUAGUCCAUGCCGUAAACGAUGAGUGCUAGGUGUUGGAGGGUUUCCGCCCUUCAGUGCCGGAGCUAACGCAUUAAGCACUCCGCCUGGGGAGUACGACCGCAA